GACAGGUUUGGGCUCCCAGCUACCUGGGCACCCGCCGAGAGCUGGAGCGUAGGAGGCAGGGGCGGAGGCCUGGGGAGGGGCAGGGCCUGGGCCUGACGCCCUUGGCUGUGGGGAAACCUGAGCUCCCCUCCCUCCCCAGAUGCUGGGCCGGGGCUGUGUAGGAGCAGGUCCAGGCGGCGGCUGACGAUUAUCGGGGUGGCCCGAUUUCAAUCUGGUAAAACAGCCACCCAGUGCAGCCCUGCCAGGGGGCUCAAAGACCAGAUGACAGGCCAAGGGAACCUCUCACUUUCCCUGCUUCCUCUGGGACCUGCUCUGUCCCGGGGGGUCAUGCCCAGCCAGGCAGCCAGGCCAACUUGGAACAGAGGGGCACCUGACAGGCAGGGCAAUCCCAGUAGGGGAGGGCAAACCUGGUAAGGGUGUGCCCUUCCGCCCAGCCUCGCCCCACCCAGGCUGGAGGGACUGAUCAGGGAGAUGCCCAGGGAUGUGCCUCCACAGGCCUCUGUCCUGUAAAUGGCUUUUGCCGAGUGCCCCAAAAGUUGCCAGCAGCAGAUCAGGUCAUGCGGAAAUCUCACUGAAUGGGCGGAGGAGGUCCUGGUGAACGCCAGAAUCAGUCCCAAAGGCCACCCCUGAGGAGCUGACAGGAGGAGCAUCUCCCGGGCACGCUGGGCACGCAUCAAAGUCAACCUUGUGCAGAUGUGCCUGUUGACAAGAAACGAUGCGUCAAUAAAGAACAAGUAGCAGGUUCCAGAACAGCGCAGGGUGCGGAGCCGUGAACAGGACGGUCUCUGGAGAAACGCGAGUGAUUUUAAAUUCUCUUGCUCAGCCGUGCAUCCUCAUUUCUGUGCACUGAGCACCUGCCACCAUGUCUCAAGGCCUAAUAGGGGUUCACGAGUUUUCACACCAGUCCCUCCGCUAUUGGGGGCCCUGCUGGGAGGGGCUGGCUCGAUGGUUUGGGGUAAACUUGGGACCCCCAAGUUUAGUCCAGGGCAGUAGCUCGGGACUGGUUUACGAGGUGGGUGAGAGGCCUGGGGAUCGGGGCCUGCCCGGUGGAGUGAGUGAUGAAGAGUCUGAUGUUGGAAUGGCGGGCAGCAGGUUCCUGAGCCUUCCGGUCGCUUCCACUGCAGCUUUCUCAGAGCUGGGGAACAAGAGUGCCCAGCCAUAGAGUCCACUUAAUAACGGGGUGCGGAUGGGAAAUGGAACCUCAUCAAAGAGUGAUUCAGAGUUGAGGAUCAGCACUGUGCAGAUGGAAAUAGCUCUUGCCUGGCUCAAUAUAACCCACCUAUGGGGAAAUUAGUAACUGCCAUUGAGGCUUCCUGGACUUUCUGCACACUGGUGGCACAGAGGUUGAGGUCGCAGCUCUGAGGGAGGACCGAAAUCCUCGAGGACUUGGGAAAUAAGCAGAUGUCUUUAUGUGUACUUGGAAGGUGAGAUUGCCCUCAGAAGAAACUCCGAGCCUCUUCCUCGGCCUGGGGGCAGGAAGGCUGAUGAAGGUACCGAAUUCACCUGUCGACAGGUGGAGCAAUAGAGGCCUGGAUGAAGAGGUUUCCUGAAUCAGGGGCCAGGCCGGAGUCAAUCCCUAGGUCUCCUUGAGCAGGUUCCUGAUGGAACAAUCCAUCAUCAGAUCUGCUGGGGAGCACAGGAGGACUCAGGCCGGCGACGGAGUGGCUGCUAUAAUCGGAUGUUGCGUUAGCCUACAAAAGCCGAUUUCAUAACUCGGUUUUGGAAGACUCAAGGAAUUUCUCGGAAUCUGUACUACAGGGGUCUGGGUAUACUUACGCGCCAUGAGGUUGAAAAACCACGAAGUCUGGCCAUCGUAAGUCAGAGGCCAUCUGCACAGAGAUAUGUUCUCCUGACUGGAGAAAUGGAAAGCGAAUGGAAGUCAGCAAUAGAUAGAAAAGUUCCCAGACGAAAAUUCUGUGCA